rnacentral:pre_miRNA from 1 species
GGUCCUAGAAUUUAGAUUAUCCGUGUUGCCUUCACUUUAUUUAUGGGAAUCAUACAUGGUUCACCUAUUUUUCAGGACC